AUUGAACGCUGGCGGCAGGCCUAACACAUGCAGGUCGAGCGGAUGAGGGAAGCUUGCUUCCCGAUUUAGCGGCGGACGGGUGAGUAAUGCCUAGGAAUCUGCCUAUUAGUGGGGGAUAACGUUCCGCAAGGAACGCUAAUACCGCAUACGUCCUACGGGAGAAAGUGGGGGAUCUUCCGACCUCACGCGAAUAGAUGAGCCUAGGUCGGAUUAGCUAGUUGGUGAGGUAACGGCUCACCAAGGCGACGAUCCGUAGCUGGUCUGAGAGGAUGAUCAGCCACACUGGAACUGAGACACGGUCCAGACUCCUACGGGAGGCAGCAGUGGGGAAUAUUGGACAAUGGGCGAAAGCCUGAUCCAGCCAUGCCGCGUGUGUGAAGAAGGUCUUCGGAUUGUAAAGCACUUUAAGUUGGGAGGAAGAGUUGUAAGCUAAUAUCUUGCAGCUUUGACGUUACCAACAGAAUAAGCACCGGCUAACUCUGUGCCAGCAGCCGCAGUAAAAC
rnacentral:rRNA from 1 species